CUGAGUAACGUGGUCUUUCAGACCCGCUACCCGCCCUAUGUCAUAUGUUGGACGAGGUCGUCUUUAGGGGCGGCCUCCGACCCCACUUCCCGGGAGGCGUUGCGCCCCGUCAGGUCUAGGCCUCGAUGGGGAUGGGACCGCCCGGGGUCUUUUCAAAACCCUUUGUGAGAAAUCUGAAGUCUGAAGCGAAAGCUUAAAACAAAUUGAAGCA
rnacentral:misc_RNA from 1 species